AUCUUGUGGUGGGGACAUGAGUCUAGGAGAUUCCUGAAGCGCUCCCAAUAUUCGUAGAGGGUCUCUGAUUCACCUUGAAUGAUACAGGAAAUCUCUUUCCUCAAUCU